rnacentral:rRNA from 1 species
CCUACGGGGGGCUGCAGUGGGGAAUUUUGGACAAUGGGCGCAAGCCUGAUCCAGCUAUUCCGCGUGUGGGAUGACGGCCCUCGGGUUGUAAACCACUUUAGUAGAGAACGAAAAGGAGCUAUCGAAUAAAUAGCUCUGCUGACGGUCCUCUAAGAAUAAGCACCGGCUAACUACGUGCCAGCAGCCGCGGUAAUACGUAGGGUGCGAGCGUUAAUCGGAAUUACUGGGCGUAAGGGGUGUGCAGGCGGCUGAGUAAGACAGAUGGGAAAGCCCCGGGCUUAAGCGGGGAAGCGCAUAUGUUACUGCUUGGCUAGAGUGCGUCAGAGGUGGGUGGAAUGCCACGUGUAGCAGUGAAAUGCAUAGAUAUG